CCUACGGGAGACAGCAGUGAGGAAUAUUGGUCAAUGGCCGGAAGGCUGAACCAGCCAUGCCGCGUGAAGGUCAGUGCCCUAUGGGCGUUAAACUUCUUUUGUGCGGGAGCAAUAAUGGUCACGUGUGGCCAGACGAGAGUACCGUACGAAUAAGCAUCGGCUAACUCCGUGCCAGCAGCCGCGGUAAUACGGGGGAUGCAAGCGUUAUCCGGAUUUAUUGGGUUUAAAGGGUGCGUAGGCUGUGAGGUAAGUCAGCGGUGAAAUGCCCCCGCUCAACGGGGUGAAGUGCCAUUGAUACUGCCUUGCUGGAGUGCGGAUGCGGUGGGAGGAAUGUGUGGUGUAGCGGUGAAAUGCAUAGAUAUCACACAGAACACCGAUUGCGAAGGCAGCUCACGAAUCCGCGAUUGACGCUGAUGCACGAAAGCGUGGGUAUCAAACAGGAUUAGAUACCCGAGUAGUC
rnacentral:rRNA from 1 species